AUAGUAGUGUCAGAGUUUGAUCCUGGCUCAGGAUGAACGCUAGCUACAGGCUUAACACAUGCAAGUCGAGGGGCAGCAUUAUCUUAGCUUGCUAAGAUAGAUGGCGACCGGCGCACGGGUGAGUAACACGUAUCCAACCUUCCGGUAACUCCGGUAUAGCCUUUCGAAAGAAAGAUUAAUCCCGGAUAGUAUGGUGAUUCCGCGUGGUUUCUCCAUUAAAGGAUUCCGGUUACCGAUGGGGAUGCGUUCCAUUAGGCAGUUGGCGGGGUAACGGCCCACCAAACCUACGAUGGAUAGGGGUUCUGAGAGGAAGGUCCCCCACAUUGGAACUGAGACACGGUCCAA
rnacentral:rRNA from 1 species